AUUGAACGCUGGCGGCAUGCCUUACACAUGCAAGUCGAACGGUAACAGGUCUUCGGAUGCUGCCGAGUGGCGUACGGGUGCGUAAUACAUCGGAACGUGCCCAGACGCUGGGGAUAACGAGUCGAAAGCUUUGCUAAUACCGCAUACGAUCUAAGGAUGAAAGCAGGGGACCGCAAGGCCUUGCGCGUUUGGAGCGGCCGAUGGCAGAUUAGGUAGUUGGUGGGAUAAAAGCUUACCAAGCCGACGAUCUGUAGCUGGUCUGAGAGGACGACCAGCCACACUGGGACUGAGACACGGCCCAGACUCCUACGGGAGGAAGCAGUGGGGAAUUUUGGACAAUGGGCGAAAGCCUGAUCCAGCAAUGCCGCGUGCAGGAUGAAGGCCUUAGGGUUGUAAACUGCUUUUGUACGGAACGAAAAGGCUCUGGCUAAUACCUGGGGCACAUGACGGUACCGGAAGAAUAAGCACCGGCUAACUCCGUG
rnacentral:rRNA from 1 species